rnacentral:misc_RNA from 1 species
CUCACAGGUUUCUCGCUGAAGAACGCGAUCUAUGUUAUAUUUCUCGGCGAAGAACACGAUUUUGUUGGAAUAGGGUUUAUUAGGCUAGAAAUUAUAUCUUUGAAAGUCUAAAUUUUAGCUUUAGGGUUUUGACAUUCUUGUGUUUUUAUCCAAUUUUUGAGAUUCUAGCUCGUAUUUUAGCUUUAUUAAUUGGAGAUUAAACCGAGUAACUAUAGGGUCUUGUUAAUCGAAUCAUAUCAAUUUCAUUCCAUAAAAUCAUUAGUUUUUUUAUAGCGAAACAGAAUUGUGGAGCAAAGCAUUGUCGUGUUUCUGAACCUUGUUUCUGUGGGUUAUAGUGUAAAUUUUACUUUGGCUUGGAAUGAUAUUAUGUUGAGUAGAUAGGUCUGCAUAUUGUUAAGCUAAUUUAUAUCUGAUAAUAUCUUUAUAUGUAUUAUUCUAUGGCAGAUGGAUCUGAUAGCUAAGUUAACCAUAAAAAUAUCGUGGAUUACAAGGACAUUUUGGUAGAGAAGACACACAAUCCUAGAAGGAAACCUGGAGCCACAACUACGCACACAAAUCAGCAACCAAAUCAGGAGAAGACAAAUGAAAGUUUUGCUAGCAUAAGAAGUAAAUUGAGCCACUUCCCCAAGGUCAUAAUUAACAAGACCUGAUCUCUUUAAUCUUCUCCUGAUUUGGUUGUUGAUUUUUGUGUGUAGUUGUGUCUCCAGCUUCCCUGCUAGGAUCUUGUAUUGGUUAUAGGAUCAA